rnacentral:rRNA from 1 species
GUUGUAUAGUUAAGUGACUAAGCGUACAAGGUGGAUGCCUUGGCAAUCAGAGGCGAAGAAGGACGUGCUAAUCUGCGAAAAGCUUGGAUGAGUUGAUAAGAAGCGUUUAAUCCAAGAUAUCCGAAUGGGGAAACCCAGUGAGUGAAGAACUCACUAUUCAUCAUUGAAUCCAUAGGUGAUGAAGGCAAACCGGGAGAACUGAAACAUCUAAGUACCCCGAGGAAAAGAAAUCAACCGAGAUUCCGUCAGUAGCGGCGAGCGAAAGCGGAGGAGCCAUCAAAUGUUAUCUCAUCAAUUAAGAGAAUCAACUGGGAAGUUGAAUCAUAGAGGGUGAUAAUCCCGUAUCUGAAAAUUGUUGGGAAGGACUAAGUUUGAGAGAAGUAGGGCGGGACACGUGAUAUCCUGUCUGAAGAAGGGGGGACCAUCCUCCAAGGCUAAAUACUCCUGAUUGACCGAUAGUGAACCAGUACUGUGAAGGAAAGGCGAAAAGAACCCCGGCGAGGGGAGUGAAAUAGAACCUGAAACCUUGUACGUACAAGCAGUGGGAGCCGUAAGGUGACUGCGUACCUUUUGUAUAAUGGGUCAGCGACUUAUAUUUUGUAGCGAGGUUAACCGAAUAGGGGAGCCGAAGGGAAACCGAGUCUUAACUGGGCGUUGAGUUGCAAGGUAUAGACCCGAAACCCGGUGAUCUAGCCAUGGGCAGGUUGAAGGUUGGGUAACACUAACUGGAGGACCGAACCGACUAAUGUUGAAAAAUUAGCGGAUGACUUGUGGCUGGGGGUGAAAGGCCAAUCAAACCGGGAGAUAGCUGGUUCUCCCCGAAAUCUAUUUAGGUAGAGCCUUGAGCGGACACCUUUGGGGGUAGAGCACUGUUUCGGCUAGGGGGCCAUCCCGGCUUACCAACCCGAUGCAAACUCCGAAUACCAAAGAGUGAUACUCAGGAGACACACGGCGGGUGCUAACGUCCGUCGUGGAGAGGGAAACAACCCAGACCGCCAGCUAAGGUCCCUAAGUCUAUAUUAAGUGGGAAACGAAGUGGGAAGGCUUAGACAGCUAGGAUGUUGGCUUAGAAGCAGCCACCAUUUAAAGAAAGCGUAAUAGCUCACUAGUCGAGUCGGCCUGCGCGGAAGAUGUAACGGGGCUGAAAUAUAGCACCGAAGCUGCGGCAUCAGAAUUUAUUCUGUUGGGUAGGGGAGCGUUGUGUAAGCGGAAGAAGGUGAAUCGAGAGGUUUGCUGGACGUAUCACAAGUGCGAAUGCUGACAUAAGUAACGAUAAAACGGGUGAAAAACCCGUUCGCCGGAAGACCAAGGUUUCCUGUCCAACGUUAAUCGGGGCAGGGUGAGUCGGCUCCUAAGGCGAGGCUGAAAAGCGUAGUCGAUGGGAAACGGGUUAAUAUUCCCGUACUUGGUAAAGCUGCGAUGUGGGGACGGAGCAGGUUAGGCAAGCAAGGUGUUGGAUAUCCUUGUUUAAGGUUGUAGGUGGAAAGUCUAGGCAAAUCCGGACUUUUAUACACUGAGAGCUGAUGACGAUUGUCUACGGACAAGAAGUUGCCGAUACCACACUUCCAGGAAAAGCCACUAAGCUUCAGGCUUUACUAAACCGUACUGAAAACCGACACAGGUGGUCAGGUAGAGAAUACUCAGGCGCUUGAGAGAACUCGGGUGAAGGAACUAGGCAAAAUAGCACCGUAACUUCGGGAGAAGGUGCGCCGGCGUAGAUUGUAAGGGCUUGCCCCUGAAGGUUGAACCGGUCGAAGAUACCAGCUGGCUGCAACUGUUUAUUAAAAACACAGCACUCUGCAAACACGAAAGUGGACGUAUAGGGUGUGAUGCCUGCCCGGUGCUGGAAGGUUAAUUGAUGGUGUAAUCGAAAGAGAAGCUCCUGAUCGAAGCCCCAGUAAACGGCGGCCGUAACUAUAACGGUCCUAAGGUAGCGAAAUUCCUUGUCGGGUAAGUUCCGACCUGCACGAAUGGCAUAAUGAUGGCCAGGCUGUCUCCACCCGAGACUCAGUGAAAUUGAAAUCGCCGUGAAGAUGCGGUGUACCCGCGGCUAGACGGAAAGACCCCGUGAACCUUUACUAUAGCUUGACACUGAACAUUGAAUUUUGAUGUGUAGGAUAGGUGGGAGCCUUUGAAGCGGUCACGCCAGUGAUUGUGGAGGCGACCUUGAAAUACCACCCUUUAACGUUUGAUGUUCUAACGAGACAUCCUAAUCGGGUGUUCGGACAGUGUCUGGUGGGUAGUUUGACUGGGGCGGUCUCCUCCCAAAGCGUAACGGAGGAGCACGAAGGUUUGCUAAUGACGGUCGGACAUCGUCAGGUUAGUGCAAUGGUAUAAGCAAGCUUAACUGCGAGACGGACAAGUCGAGCAGGUACGAAAGUAGGUCAUAGUGAUCCGGUGGUUCUGAAUGGAAGGGCCAUCGCUCAACGGAUAAAAGGUACUCCGGGGAUAACAGGCUGAUACCGCCCAAGAGUUCAUAUCGACGGCGGUGUUUGGCACCUCGAUGUCGGCUCAUCACAUCCUGGGGCUGAAGUAGGUCCCAAGGGUAUGGCUGUUCGCCAUUUAAAGUGGUACGCGAGCUGGGUUUAGAACGUCGUGAGACAGUUCGGUCCCUAUCUGCCGUGGGCGUUGGAGAAUUGAUUGGGGCUGCUCCUAGUACGAGAGGACCGGAGUGGACGCACCACUGGUGUUCGGGUUGUGUCGCCAGACGCAUUGCCCGGUAGCUAAGUGCGGAAGAGAUAAGUGCUGAAAGCAUCUAAGCACGAAACUUGCCAAGAGAUGAGUUCUCCCAGACUUUAGGUCUGUAAGGGUUGUUUGAGACUAAGACGUAGAUAGGUGGGGUGUGUAAGUAUUGUGAGAUAUUGAGCUAACCCAUACUAAUUGCCCGAGAGGCUUAACUAUACAACGCUCAAG